rnacentral:tRNA from 1 species
GGCGGGACGGGAACGCACGACGCGAUUUGGGCUCAUAACCCGAAGGUCGCAGGUUCAAAUCCUGCCCCCGCCACCA